rnacentral:rRNA from 1 species
CGGUUGAUCCUGCCGGAGGCCACUGCUAUUGGGAUUCGAUUGAGCCAUGCGAGUCGAGAGGGUUCGGCCCUCGGCAGACUGCUCAGUAACACGUGGAUAACUUACCCUUAGGUGGAGGAUAAUCUCGGGAAACUGAGAAUAAUACUCCAUAGAUCUAGGCUGCUGGAAUGCAUCUAGAUCAAAAGCUCCGGCGCCUAAGGAUAGGUCUGCGGACUAUCAGGUUGUAGUCAGGGUAAAGACCUGACUAGCCUACGACGGAUAUGGGUUGUGAGAGCAAUAGCCCAGAGACGAUAUCUGAGACACGAUAUCGGGCCCUACGGGGCGCAGCAGGCGCGAAAUCUUCACAAUGUGCGAAAGCACGAUGAGGGAAUCCCAAGUGCUAGCACGUAAGUGUUAGCUGUUUCUACGUCUAAAAAACUCAGAGAGUAAGGGCUGGGUAAGACGGGUGCCAGCCGCCGCGGUAAUACCUGCAGCUCAAGUGGUGGCCGCUAUUAUUGGGCCUAAAACGUCCGUAGCCUGUUUAGUAAAUGCUUGGGUAAAUUGUGUAGCUUAACUAUACGAAUACCGGGUAGACUGCUAAACUUGGGACCGGGAGAGGCUAGAGGUACUCCUGGGGUAGAGGUGAAAUUCUGUAAUCCUAGGGGGACCACCAGUGGCGAAGGCGUCUAGCUAGAACGGGUCUGACGGUGAGGGACGAAGCCCUGGGGCGCGAACCGGAUUAGAUACCCGGGUAGUCCAGGGUGUAAACGCUGCUUGCUGAUNNUUAGUUUGGGCUCCGAGCCCAACUAGUGUCNNNNNNNAGUUGUUAAGCAAGCUGCCUGGGAAGUACGGUCGCAAGACUGAAACUUAAAGGAAUUGGCGGGGGGANCAC